GACAGAGGGUGCAAACGUUGCUCGGAAUCACUGGGCGUAAAGGGCGUGUAGGCGGGUAGAUAAGUCGGGCGUGAAAUCCCUAGGCUCAACCUAGGAACUGCACUCGAAACUGUUUAUCUUGAGUGCCGGAGAGGAAAGCGGAAUUCCUGGUGUAGAGGUGAAAUUCGUAGAUAUCAGGAGGAACACCAGUGGCGGAAGGGCGGCUUUC
rnacentral:rRNA from 1 species